rnacentral:rRNA from 1 species
AUUGAACGCUGGCGGCAGGCCUAACACAUGCAAGUCGAACGAGUGGCAGACGGGUGAGUAAUUUCUGUGAAACUUCCUUAUGGCGGGGGAUAACUACUGGAACCGGUAUCUAAUACCGCCUACCAUCAGCUGUGCCAAAAUUGGAGUAGCUUUUUGGUGGGGUAACGGCUCACCAAGGCGACGAUCCCUAGCUGGUCUGAGAGGAUGACCCGCCACACUGGAACGGAGACACGGUCCAGAGUCCUACGGGAGGCAGCAGUGGGGAAUAUUGCACAAUGGGCGCAAGCCUGAUGCAGCCAUGCCGCGUGUAUGAAGAAGGCCUUCGGGUUGUAAAGUACUUUCAGCGGGGAGGCGUUACCCGCAGAAGAAGCACCGGCUAACUCCGUGCCAGCAGCCGCGGUAAUUC